rnacentral:rRNA from 1 species
AGGACGAACGCUGGCGGCGUGCUUAACACAUGCAAGUCGAGCGGAAAGGCCUUUCGGGGUACUCGAGCGGCGAACGGGUGAGUAACACGUGAGUAAUCUGCCCAUCGCUUCAGGAUAGCCAUCGGAAACGGUGAUUAAUACUGGAUAUGACAUUCCUUCGCAUGUUGGGGUGUGGUAAAGUUUUUUCGGCGGUGGAUGUGCUCGCGGCCUAUCGGCUUGGUGGUGGGUAAUGGCCUACCAAGGCUUUGACGGCAGCCGGCCUGAGAGGGUGACCGGCCACGACUGGGACUGAGACACGGCCCAGACUCCACGGGAGCAGCAGUGGGAA